ACUUCCAAGAAGGGCCAGGCCAAACGGCCGUUCCCCCUGGCGGCGCCUCCUCCGCUCGCUCCGGCACAGCCCCCUCUUUCCAGAGCGCGGCCGCUGGGAGGUACACAGCGGAGCAAGACGCUCCCCGCUUUCUCGACCGAUUGCCGUUGGAACCCGGUUCAGGGCGCUGCCUCCUCCACCGGAGCACCGCCGUCUCCUCCGGCGUCCUCGACCCGCAGAGAUCGCCGCCACCGUUGACCGCGUUUCCGCGGACGCCGCCGCCAGGGUUCGGCAAGGCUGAAAACUUCGACAUCCCGUCCAUUGGAAGAAAAGGUCUUCGUCCUCGUGAAUCCUAAAGAAGAGAUAAAGAGUGGUGAUGCAUUCAAGAACGCGGUGAAGGUUAAGAAGAAAAACGAACACCCGGACACGAGGAGGAACGGCAGAUCAGCCCCAUAUUGCACAAGUGGGCAAAGCAGAAUAGAGACAUUGCAGAAAAAGCCCAACCCAGGGUUACGCUACGCAAGCAGGAAAUUGCAACUGAAACCUACAACGAAGAGCGGCAGACAUUAGAUUGUUAUCACCAUCUACACAAGAAAGAAGCCAGGUUUUGGAAUAAUACAGCUUAAGGCACGUCCUGAACUACAAAGGUCAAGGAAUCUGAACAAUCAGGACCAAUUGCAAUUUACGACAGCAGGUGGAAUACUCUACUACAACGACAUAAUUCAGAGAAGAAGGUGAAAAGGUGGUAAGAAAGAACAGGGAAGGCAAUACACUAACACAACAACCCCACCGCAGCCACCGGAUCCAGGUUCGCUGGUGGAUAGGUAUGGGCUCGGCGGCUUUGAUCUUGACAUUUUUUGUCUCUCGAAACAUGGCAUAACAAAGCAGGAUAGAAUAGGUGGGUUUAUAAUGAAGAGGAAAUGAAGAGAAUGUGAUAUUCGAUGUGUUCUAGUUUUCUGGGGUUACAUACUCUUACCUGUAAAACUAGCGAACCAUUUGUUUCGCUCCAUUGCCACUGAUAUAUUCUGAACUGAAACAAAGAUAA